rnacentral:rRNA from 1 species
GAACAGCUAGAGUCGGGAAGGGGCAGAGGGAAUCCCCAGUGUAGCGGUGAAAUGCGUAGAUAUUGGGAAGAACACCGGUGGCGAAAGCGCUCUGCUGGGCCGAACCUGACGCUGAGGGACGAAAGCUAGGGGAGCGAAUGGGAUUAGAUACCCCAGUAGUCCUAGCCGUAAACGAUGGAGACUAGGUGUUGCCUGUAUCGACCCGGGCAGUGCCGAAGCCAACGCGUUAAGUCUCCCGCCUGGGGAGUACGCACGCAAGUGUGAAACUCAAAGGAAUUGACGGGGGCCCGCACAAGCGGUGGAGUAUGUGGUUUAAUUCGAUGCAACGCGAAGAACCUUACCAGGGCUUGACAUCCCGCGAAUCCCGGCGAAAGUUGGGAGUGCCUACGGGAGCGCGGAGACAGGUGGUGCAUGGCUGUCGUCAGCUCGUGUCGUGAGAUGUUGGGUUAAGUCCCGCAACGAGCGCAACCCUCGUCCUUAGUUGCCAGCCUUAAGUGGGGCACUCUAGGGAGACUGCCGGUGAUAAACCGGAGGAAGGUGGGGAUGACGUCAAGUCAUCAUGCCCCAUAUGUCCUGGGCGACACACGUACUACAAUGGUCGGGACAGCGAGCAGCCAACUCGCGAGAGUGAGCUAAUCUCUCAAACCCGGCCUCAGUUCAGAUUGCAGGCUGCAACUCGCCUGCAUGAAGGAGGAAUCGCUAGUAAUCGCAGGUCAGCAUACUGCGGUGAAUCCGUUCCCGGGCCUUGUACACACCGCCCGUCACACCAUGGAAGUCGGCCAUGCCCGAAGUCAUUACUCUAACCGUUCGCGGAGGAGGGUGCCGAAGGCAGGGCUGAUGACUGGGGUGAAGUCGUAACAAGGUAGCCGUACCGGAAGGUGUGGCUGGAUCACCU